AGUGAACGCUGGCGGUAGGCCUAACACAUGCAAGUCGAACGGCAGCACAGUAAGAGCUUGCCUUUACGGGUGGCGAGUGGCGGACGGGUGAGGAAUACAUCGGCAUCUACUUUUUCGUGGGGGAUAACGUAGGGAAACUUACGCUAAUACCGCAUACGACCUACGGGUGAAAGCAGGGGAUCUUCGGACCUUGCGUGAUUGAAUGAGCCGAUGUCGGAUUAGCUAGUUGGCGAGGUAAAGGCACACCAAGGCAACGAUGCGUAGCUGGUCUGAGAGGAUGAUCAGCCACACUGGAACUGAGACACGGUCCAGACUCCUACGGGAGGCAGCAGUGGGGAAUAUUGGACAAUGGGCGCAAGCCUGAUCCAGCCAUACCGCGUGAGUGAAGAAGGCCUUCGGGUUGUAAAGCCCUGUUGUUGGGAAAGAAAAGCAGCAUGUUAAUACCCCGCUGUUCUGACGGUACCCAAAGAGUAAGCACCGGCUAACUUCGUG
rnacentral:rRNA from 1 species